AGAGUUUGAUCCUGGCUCAGGAUGAACGCUGGCGGCGCGCCUAACACAUGCAAGUCGAACGGCACCUAUCUUCGGAUAGAAGCGAGUGGCGAACGGCUGAGUAACACGUGGAGAACCUGCCCCCUCCCCCGGGAUAGCCGCCCGAAAGGACGGGUAAUACCGGAUACCCCCGGGCGCCGCAUGGCGCCCGGGCUAAAGCCCCGACGGGAGGGGAUGGCUCCGCGGCCCAUCAGGUAGACGGCGGGGUGACGGCCCACCGUGCCGACAACGGGUAGCCGGGUUGAGAGACCGACCGGCCAGAUUGGGACUGAGACACGGCCCAGACUCCUACGGGAGGCAGCAGUGGGGAAUCUUGCGCAAUGGGGGGAACCCUGACGCAGCGACGCCGCGUGCGGGACGGAGGCCUUCGGGUCGUAAACCGCUUUCAGCAGGGAAGAGUCAAGACUGUACCUGCAGAAGAAGCCCCGGCUAACUACGUGCCAGCAGCCGCGGUAAUACGUAGGGGGCGAGCGUUAUCCGGAUUCAUUGGGCGUAAAGCGCGCGUAGGCGGCCCGGCAGGCCGGGGGUCGAAGCGGGAGGCUCAACCCCCCGAAGCCCCCGGAACCUCCGCGGCUUGGGUCCGGUAGGGGAGGGUGGAACACCGCGGUGUAGCGUGUGGAAUGCGACAGAUAUCGGGGUGGAACACCGGUGGCGAAGGCGGCCCUCUGGGCCGAGACCGACGCUGAGGCGCGAAAGCUGGGGGAGCGAACAGGAUUAGAUACCCUGGUAGUCCCAGCCGUAAACGAUGGACGCUAGGUGUGGGGGGACGAUCCCCCCGUGCCGCAGCCAACGCAUUAAGCGUCCCGCCUGGGGAGUACGGCCGCAAGGCUAAAACUCAAAGGAAUUGACGGGGGCCCGCACAAGCAGCGGAGCAUGUGGCUUAAUUCGAAGCAACGCGAAGAACCUUACCAGGGCUUGACAUAUGGGUGAAGCGGGGGAGACCCCGUGGCCGAGAGGAGCCCAUACAGGUGGUGCAUGGCUGUCGUCAGCUCGUGUCGUGAGAUGUUGGGUUAAGUCCCGCAACGAGCGCAACCCCCGCCGCGUGUUGCCAUCGGGUGAUGCCGGGAACCCACGCGGGACCGCCGCCGUCAAGGCGGAGGAGGGCGGGGACGACGUCAAGUCAUCAUGCCCCUUAUGCCCUGGGCUGCACACGUGCUACAAUGGCCGGUACAGAGGGAUGCCACCCCGCGAGGGGGAGCGGAUCCCGGAAAGCCGGCCCCAGUUCGGAUUGGGGGCUGCAACCCGCCCCCAUGAAGUCGGAGUUGCUAGUAAUCGCGGAUCAGCAUGCCGCGGUGAAUGCGUUCCCGGGUCUUGCACACACCGCCCGUCA
rnacentral:rRNA from 1 species